rnacentral:rRNA from 1 species
ACUCAAAUGAAUUGACGGGGGCUCACACAAGCGGUGGAGCAUGUGGCUUAAUUCGAGGCUACGCGAAGAACCUUAUCCUGGACUUGACAUGUUCGAAAGAGACUGCAGGUAGGACCCGGAAACGGGAACGAACGGUAUCCAAUCCGGAAGCAGUCACAGGUGCUGCAUGGCUGUCGUCAGCUCGUGUCGUGAGAUGUCGGGUUAAGUCCCAUAACGAGCGAAACCCUUACCUUUAGUUGCUACCGAAAGGGCACUCUAGAGGGACUGCCGGUGUUAAACCGGAGGAAGGUGGGGAUGACGUCAAGUCCUCAUGGCCUUUAUGUCCAGGGCUGCACACGUGCUACAAUGGCGUGUACAAAGUGAAGCGACCACGCGAGUGGAAGCCAAUCACAUAAAACACGCCCCAGUUCAGAUCGAAGGCUGCAACUCGCCUUCGUGAAGCCGGAAUCGCUAGUAAUCGCGGGUCAGCAACACCGCGGUGAAUGUGUUCCUGAGCCUUGCACACACCGCCCGU